AACCUGCGGAGGGAUCAKYMSAGAGYUAUACAACUCCCAUACCAUCUGUUAACCUACCCAGUUAUGCCUCGGCGUAAGCUCGGUUGGAGGCACCUGCAGCUACCCUGUAGUUGCGGACUGCCAACUCCAGCCGCGGCCCGCCGGCGGUACACUAAACUCUGUUUUAUUUUAUAUUCUGAGCGUCUUAUUUUAAUAAGUUAAAACUUUCAACAACGGAUCUCUUGGUUCUGGCAUCGAUGAAGAACGCAGCGAAAUGCGAUAAGUAAUGUGAAUUGCAGAAUUCAGUGAAUCAUCGAAUCUUUGAACGCACAUUGCGCCCAUCAGUAUUCUGGUGGGCAUGCCUGUUCGAGCGUCAUUUCAACCCUUAAGCCUAGCUUAGUGUUGGGAAUCUGCUGUACUGCAGUUCCUUAAAGACAGUGGCGGAGCGGCGGUAGUCCUCUGAGCGUAGUAAUUUAUUUCUCGCUUUUGUCAGGCUCUGUCCUCCCGCCAUAAAACCCCCAAUUUUUUAGUGGUUGACCUCGGAUCAGGUAGSAAURCCMGCUSMACUUA
rnacentral:rRNA from 1 species